GGGUUAGUAGGUUGGUUAUGCCUCUGGUAUGUACUGGUCUCACUGAUUCCUCCUUCCUGAUGAACCGUAAUGCCAUUAAUUUGGUGUUGCGGGAAAUUUGGACUGUUACUUUAAAAAUUAGAGUGUUUAAAGCAAGCUAACGCUUGAAUACAUUAGCAUAGAAUAAUGAAAUAGGACGUUUGAUCCUAUUUUGUUAGUUUCUAGGAUUGACGUAAUGAUUAAUAG
rnacentral:rRNA from 1 species